UGCGUAGGUCCCGAGCGUUGUCCGGAUUUAUUGGGCGUAAAGCGAGCGCAGGUAGUUUAUUAAGUCUGGUGUAAAAGGCAGUGGCUCAACCAUUGUAUGCAUUGGAAACUGGUAGACUUGAGUGCAGGAGAGGAGAGUGGAAUUCCAUGUGUAGCGGUGAAAUGCGUAGAUAUACGGAGGAACACCGGUGGCGAAAGCGGCUCUCUGGCCUGUAACUGACACUGAGGCUCGAAAGCGUGGGGAGCAAACAGG
rnacentral:rRNA from 1 species